rnacentral:rRNA from 1 species
UACGUAGGGGGCAAGCGUUGUCCGGAUUUACUGGGCGUAAAGAGCGCGCAGGCGGUCAUUCAAGUCGCGUGUGAAAGCCCCCGGCUCAACUGGGGAGGGUCACGCGAUACUGAUCGACUCGAAGGCAGGAGAGGGAAGUGGAAUUCCCGGUGUAGUGGUGAAAUGCGUAGAUAUCGGGAGGGACACCAGUGGCGAAGGCGACUUCCUGGCCUGUUCUUGACGCUGAGGCGCGAAAGCUAGGGGAGCAAACGGG